UACGUAGGGGGCAAGCGUUGUCCGGAAUCAUUGGGCGUAAAGAGCGUGUAGGCGGCCAGGUAGGUCCGUUGUGAAAACUCGAGGCUCAACCUCGAGACGCCGAUGGAAACCCCCUGGCUAGAGUCCGGAAGAGGAGAGUGGAAUUCCUGGUGUAGCGGUGAAAUGCGCAGAUAUCAGGAAGAACACCCGUGGCUAAGGCGGCUCUCUAGUACG
rnacentral:rRNA from 1 species